rnacentral:rRNA from 1 species
AUACGGAGGAUCCGAGCGUUAUCCGGAUUUAUUGGGUUUAAAGGGAGCGUAGGCGGACGCUUAAGUCAGUUGUGAAAGUUUGCGGCUCAACCGUAAAAUUGCAGUUGAUACUGGGUGUCUUGAGUACAGUAGAGGCAGGGGGGAUUUUGGGGGUAGGGGGGAAAUGCUUAGAUAUCACGAAGAACUCCGAUUGCGAAGGCAGCCUGCUGGACUGUAACUGACGCUGAUGCUCGAAAGUGUGGGUAUCAAACAGGAUUAGAUACCCUGGUAGUCCACACAGUAAACGAUGAAUACUCGCUGUUUGCGAUAUACAGUAAGCGGCCAAGCGAAAGCGUUAAGUAUUCCACCUGGGGAGUACGCCGGCAACGGUGAAACUCAAAUGAAUUGACGGGG